UUUAUUAUAUGCUUCAGAGAUUUGGGGUUUUAACAUGACCAAUGGUGAUGGUAUACAGAUUGAAUUCAUUAAAAACUUAUUUUAUUUACCACGUUGUACACCAGGUUAUUUAAUUAUGAUGGAAUGUGCCUUGACUCCUAUAAAAUUUAUAAUAUUUAGUAGGAUAAGAAAUUGGAUUACUAGAAUUUUUAAUCUUGAUGACUAUCGUCUGAGUAAGGUUUGCUUGAAAUUUAUACUUGGUAAAAAGUCUAUUGACUGGACACGUUAUUUUAUUGAUACUUGUAAUAAUCAUGGUAUUAAUCUUAUUAAUGAUGAUUUGAAUUUAAUGGACUGGUCUCUUCUCCUUGUUAACAUUUUUGAUAAUUUUUUAUAUAAUAUUAAUGAAAAAAUAAAUAAUAGCGUAUAUAAUUGUUGGUAUAAGGAUUUAAAUGUUACUUUUUUUGAUAAUUCUUUAUAUAAUCAAGACGUUUCCCUUAAUAUUUUGUCUUUAUUUAUACAGGCUAGGUGUAAUUCACUAAAUUUUUUAAAUAAUUAUUCGAGAGAAUCAUGUGACUUUUGUGUUGAGAAAGAAAUUGUGGAUGCUUGGCAUAUUUUGGCUAAAUGUAAGCGUCUUAAAGUGUUACGAGCAGAAAUUUUCGGUUGUGAAGUUCUUACCAGGGGGCGUGAUUUCUCUGCUAUAAAUUUAGCCUUGUUGCUGGUGUUGUUUGGGAGCAUCUGUCACUGCUGUAUCUUCGUUAUUAACUUAUUUCUUUCUUAUAGGUAAGCAAUUUGCUUAUUUUUGGUUUUUAUUUUAUUUAUUAGUUUUUUGUAUUUUAUUGACAGAUGCUCCCAAACUUUAACUAAUUAUUAUAUUUGAUUUUUUAAUAUUUAAUUUGUAUCUAAAUUGUUAUGUAUUUAAUUUAUUAUUGUAUAAUCUGUUUGUGAUCUUAUGAUCAUUGUAUUUGUGUUUUUGUUCUUUGGGAGUUGGUUUUGCUCCCCGCAUCAAGGAGUGUAUCCAGUAUGCGUAAUAAAUAA